rnacentral:rRNA from 1 species
GACGAACGCUGGCGGCGUGCUUAACACAUGCAAGUCGAACGAUGAAGCCGGAGCUUGCUCUGGUGAAUUAGUGGCGAACGGGUGAGUAACACGUGAGUAACCUGCCCUUGACUCUGGGAUAACUGCGGGAAACUGUAGCUAAUACCGGAUACGACCCUCGGAGGCAUCUCCUGGGGGUGGAAAGAAUUUCGGUCUGGGAUGAGCUCGCGGCCUAUCAGCUUGUUGGUGAGGUAAUGGCCCACCAAGGCGUCGACGGGUAGCCGGCCUGAGAGGGUGACCGGCCACACUGGGACUGAGACACGGCCCAGACUCCUACGGGAGGCAGCAGUGGGGAAUAUUGCACAAUGGGCGGAAGCCUGAUGCAGCAACGCCGCGUGAGGGAUGACGGCCUUCGGGUUGUAAACCUCUUUUAGCAGGGAAGAAGCGAAAGUGACGGUACCUGCAGAAAAAGCGCCGGCUAACUACGUGCCAGCAGCCGCCGUAA